rnacentral:lncRNA from 1 species
CAAAGACCAGAGGUUCCUGACUUGGAACAGGCGCAAAAAUGCGGCGGGGUUAAACAUGUUUAUGAGAUCUCAACCCUCCCCCUAUACCUCUAGCAAAUGUAGAAAAGUAAACGUAUAACAAUACGUACAUUUAAAAUUCAAUUCAAGAGAAGUCCGAGUCUGAUGUCAGAAGAUGAAACCAAAGAAAAUAAACAAAAUGACAAUUAUACAUAAAUAACAACAGACUACUAGCAGUUAACUGACAUGCCAGCUCCAGACUUCAAUUAAAC